GACGAACGCUGGCGGCGUGCCUAAUACAUGCAAGUUGAGCGCUGAAGGUUGGUACUUGUACCGACUGGAUAAGCAGCGAACGGGGGAGUAACGCGUGGGGAAUCUGCCUUUGAGCGGGGGACAACAUUUGGAAACGAAUGCUAAUACCGCAUAAAAACUUUAAACACAAGUUUUAAGUUUGAAAGAUGCAAUUGCAUCACUCAAAGAUGAUCCCGCGUUGUAUUAGCUAGGUGGUGAGGUAAAGGCUCACCAAGGCGAUGAUACAUAGCCGACCUGGGAGGGAGAACGGCCACAUUGGGACUUAGACAAGGCCCAAACUCCUACGGGAGGCAGCAGUAGGGAAUCUUCGGCAAUGGACGAAAGUCUGACCGAGCAACGCCGCGUGAGUGAAGAAGGUUUUCGGAUCGUAAAACUCUGUUGGUAGAGAAGAACGUUGGUGAGAGUGGAAAGCUCAUCAAGUGACGGUAACUACCCAGAAAGGGACGGCUAACUACGUG
rnacentral:rRNA from 1 species